GUUUGUAGCUCAGUGGUAGAGUGCUUGCCUAGCAUGUGUGAAGCCCUCGGUUCGAUCCUCAGCACUACA
rnacentral:tRNA from 1 species